UGGAAGUGCUCAUUUGCGAGCUUUGUUUUGAUGGUCGUGGAUAAUUAGUUGGAUUAUAUUUCAAAUAAACUAUCAUGAGGAAGACUACUCUUUUGAAAUCGGUGUUUUAGUGCUUCACGUAUUUUUCACACCUGUGGCGGGGUUUCCUAUCUUACCUAAGAGUGUAAUGCUUUAUCUACGAUAUUAGCAGUUGAAUGUCAUUAACAAUUUUGAUGGUUAGAUCACUAAUGUUUUAUGUUAGCCUACAGCUCGGGCACGAUGGAUUGCCAUGUGCAGGGGCACGACACGGUAGAACAACCCUUUUUUAGAGCGUUCUCAUGGGGCAUUUGGCUAGCCUAAAUCGCCACUUUGGGACAUACUCAUGGACUACUCCAAGAGAGUGAGGAGCUUAGGCGUGUUGCUGUUGGAGCUCUUGUCGGAGUCUCUCGGGCUGAGGCUAGACAACCUCCAGGGAUGGACUGCUUAGAGGGCCUUGUGGUUAAAUGCCACUACUACCACAUUCGAGGCCUCCAAGUCCUUCAUGACAAUCGCCGCCGCCACCUCCGUUGUCCUCGGGGAAAAUUGCACCUGAAAUUCUUUUCGAAGGGUAUUGACAAAAGUAUCACAAGUACAUACCCUAUUAUUGUCGAAUACGAAGUACUGGUCAAGUAUUGAUUCAGCCAAAAUUUAUGCGAAAAACAAAGGCACCGUCUUGGGGAUAUGAGGAGAUACUUAGCUUUCUCCUAAUGGUUCGCUGGGUUAUGUGUGCUGCCUAUACUCUUGGGUGGAUACUCUUUGCCUGGGGAUUUCUUGCUCUUCGCUAGCAGUUCGAUAAUGCGGUGGAUGCUGAUGAUGUCUGUCCCUCUUAUUUCUUCCAUUCAGCUUAUAACGAAUGAAAGGUUCAAAGACAUCAAGGACGGAGUAUUAGCAAGCGCGAGAAUCUUGGUGGUGUGCUUUUUCAGCACGAGCUUCCAGUCGUCAUUGAAGCUUUUUGGGCCUAUUAGGGAACUGUCGUUCGAGGACAGUCCUCCAAUCUACAAAGAGACCACAGUGAGGGACUAUCUUGCCCACUUCAAUGAACAUGGCCUUGAUGAAACUCCCCCUCUCAAACACUUCAAGCUGUGAACUCUAUAUUUUCUGAAAAGAAGAGAUGCAGAAUCCUUCUUGAGCAAUUAGUGUCGUCAGUUCAAGUUUUAGAAUUUCAAUUUGCUCAGUAGCCAUUUGUAUUGAUUGUGUAUGGAACAGGAUUUUUUUUUUCAUGCUACCAUUGUGUCGAAGGACCAUAUUGAGAGCCUA